rnacentral:RNase_P_RNA from 2 species
UCAGUUGGCCGGGUGAUCGCGGGCGUCUACGAGGCGUUCGAGGAAAGUCCGGACUCUACAGGGCGCGGUGCUGGCUAACGGCCAGGCGGGACAACCCGACGGACAGUGCCACAGAAACAAACCGCCCUUCCCCGGCCUCGCCGAGGAAGAGCAAGGGUGAAAAGGUGGUGUAAGAGACCACCGGCGGGUCUGGCAACAGGCCCGGCCAGGCAAACCCCACCGGGAGCAAGGCCAAGCAGGGGGAAAGGCGCUGCACAAGCGCCGGGAGGCGGCCCGUCUCCCUCGACCUCCGGGUAGGCUGCGUGAGGCGGCAGGCAACUACCGUCCCAGAUAGAUGAUCACCACCCUCGUUAGAGGGUACAGAAUCCGGCUUACAGGCCAACUGAGCUG